AUUGAACGCUGGCGGCAGGCCUAACACAUGCAAGUCGAACGGCAGCACGGGAGCAAUCCUGGUGGCGAGUGGCGAACGGGUGAGUAAUAUAUCGGAACGUGCCCAGUCGUGGGGAUAACGUAGCGAAAGCUACGCUAAUACCGCAUACGAUCUAUGGAUGAAAGCGGGGGAUCGCAAGACCUCGCGCGAUUGGAGCGGCCGAUAUCAGAUUAGGUAGUUGGUGAGGUAAAGGCUCACCAAGCCGACGUAUCUGUAGCUGGUCUGAGAGGACGACCAGCCACACUGGGACUGAGACACGGCCCAGACUCCUACGGGAGGCAGCAGUGGGAAUUUUGGACAAUGGGCGCAAGCCUGAUCCAGCAAUGCCGCGUGAGUGAUGAAGGCCUUAGGGUUGUAAAGCUCUUUUUACCCGGGAUGAUAAUGACAGUACCGGGAGAAUAAG
rnacentral:rRNA from 1 species